GGCCAGCCAGGAAGCCAUCAGCUGUCAGCCAGCCAUAGAGUAGGACAUACAGGAUGAGAGAAAGGUAAAAAGCCCCAGGGCAAAAUGUAGAUGAAGAGAAACAGGUUAAAUUAAGUUAUAAGAGCUACUGGGGCAAGCAUAAGAUAAGGCUGAGCAUUCAUAACUAAUAAUAGGUCUCCAUGUCAUG